UACAGAGGUCUCAAGCGUUGUUCGGAUUCAUUGGGCGUAAAGGGUGUGUAGGUGGCGCCGUAAGUCGGGUGUGAAAUUUCGGAGCUUAACUCCGAAACUGCAUUCGAUACUGCGGUGCUUGAGGACUGGAGAGGAGACUGGAAUUCAUGGUGUAGCAGUGAAAUGCGUAGAGAUCAUGAGGAAGACCAGUGGCGAAGGCGGGUCUCUGGACAGUUCCUGACACUGAGGAGCGAAAGCGUGGGGAGCAAACAGG
rnacentral:rRNA from 1 species